rnacentral:rRNA from 1 species
UACGUAGGGCGCAAGCGUUGUCCGGAAUUAUUGGGCGUAAAGAGCUCGUAGGCGGCCUGUCGCGUCCGCUGUGAAAUCCCGGGGCUUAACCCCGGGCGUGCAGUGGAUACGGGCUGGCUGGAGGCAGGCAGGGGAGAACGGAACUCCCGGUGUAGCGGUGAAAUGCGCAGAUAUCGGGAGGAACACCGGUGGCGAAGGCGGUUCUCUGGGCCUGUACUGACGCUGAGGAGCGAAAGCGUGGGGAGCGAACAGG